GAUGAAGAACGUAGCGAAAUGCGAUAAGUAAUGUGAAUUGCAGAAUUCAGUGAAUCAUCGAAUCUUUGAACGCACAUUGCGCCCGCCAGAAUUCUGGCGGGCAUGCCUGUUCGAGCGUCAUUUCAACCAUCAAGCCCCCGGCUUGUGUUGGGGACCUGCGGCUGCCGCAGGCCCUGAAAACCAGUGGCGGGCUCGCUAGUCACUCCGAGCGUAGUAAUACAUCUCGCUCAGGGCGUGCUGCGGGUUCCGGCCGUUAAAAAGCCUUAUUUACCCAAGGUUGACCUCGGAUCAGGUAGGAAGACCAGCUGAACUUAAGCAUAUCAAAAGCGAGGA
rnacentral:misc_RNA from 1 species